CAAAUAACAUGGAAUUAAUUUUGAAACAAUAUCUGAAGCAGUAAAGAAACAAGUGCUACUUUUUUUCAACAGAAAAUUUAAAGCAGCAAGAUGCACCCUAUCAGGACUUUGAGGAGAAAGGAUCCCAUACCCACAACAUGCCAAUGAAUGGGCUCAUUCUACUCUUGAUGAUCUCUUAGAAAAAAUUCUCCAACCAAUUCCGGAGGAUGAUGAAGUCCAAGGAGAACCUUGGGAAUGCCUUGUCAGGGCAACAAACCUUAAAGAUCAAGAAGCUGAUGAAAUGAAGAGUGGAAUAGAGGAAGGUGGCACCAAGGCAGAAAGCAGAGAGACUGAAAGCUGUGCAGGGAAUACUGAAGCUACAAAUCCUGAGGAUCCAAAACCCAGCUUAUGGCAGCGGCUGCCUUGGCCUUCUCCAUUCAGCUUUUCUGUGCCAGGGAGUGGAACGUGAUGUUACAGCCCACGUGUGCUUUGUGCUUCGUUGGCUCAUUAGAUGUGACAAGGUAAUUUCUUGUUUUCUCAUUUUGCGGAAUUCUUGUGGUAUAAAUUGAACUGACUGAAAUGAUUUAGAGAAUUUAUCUUCAUGCAAAAGUGAAUGACUGAGUCAGUACUCUGAAGGCAGCAAUAACAUACAUUGCUAGUUUCAGGCAGCGAUGUGUGAAUAACUGGUUGGUAGUAUCAAGACCUCUCUUAUUUAAUCAAACCAUGCCUCUAAUGGACCUGAUCCAACGCCCAGCCAAAAAAAGAGUCCCAUCGAUUUAAUUG
rnacentral:lncRNA from 1 species